AAAACUCAAAGGAAUUGACGGGGGCUCACACAAGCGGUGGAGCAUGUGGCUUAAUUCGAAGCAACGCGAAGAACCUUAUCCAGGGCUUGACAUGUACGGAUUAGCUUCCAGAAACGUAAAGUGACGCCUUUGGUGGAACGUACACAGGUGCUGCAUGGCUGUCGUCAGCUCGUGCUGUGAAGUGUCGGGUUAAGUCCCUUAACGAGCGAAACCCUUGCCGCUAGUUGCCAGCGAGUUAUGUCGGGGACUCUAGCGGGACUGCCGGUGUCAAACCGGAGGAAGGUGGGGAUGACGUCAAGUCCUCAUGGCCUUUAUGCCCUGGGCUGCACACGUGCUACAAUGGUAUGGACAGAGCGGCGCAAUACCGUAAGGUGGAGCAAAUCGCACAAACCAUACCCCAGUUCGGAUUGAGGUCUGCAACUCGACCUCAUGAAGUUGGAAUCGCUAGUAAUCGCGUAUCAGCUACGACGCGGUGAAUACGUUCCUGAGCCUUGUACACACCGCCCGUCACGUCAUGGGAGCCGGUAGCACCCGAAGCCGCACCAAUUCAGGUAUGUCGACGGUGAGAUCGGUGACUGGGACGAAGUCGUAACAAGGUAGCCGUA
rnacentral:rRNA from 1 species